rnacentral:rRNA from 1 species
AUCUUUAAGAUAAAAUUUAAAGUCUGGCCUGCUCAAUGAUAACAUUAAAUAGCCGCAGUAAAUACUGUGCGAAGGUAGCAUAAUAAUUAGCUUCUUAAUUAGAAGAUAGAAUGAAAGACUAAACGAACGAUAAACUGUCUCAUUAAUUUUAAUUAAAUUACGAUAUUAGUCAAAACCCUAAUAUAAUAAUGAAAGACGACAAGACCCCGAUAAACUUAAUAUUUAAUUGGGGCAAUAAUAAAAAAAAACCUUAUAUAUAUAUAAUAUAACCACAAAAUGUUAUAUAAAAUAGUUACUACAGGGAUAACAGCGCAAUUCUUUUUCAGAGCUCUAAUUAAAAAAAGACAUUACGACCUCGAUGUUGAAUUAGUUAUCUUUACUGGAGCAACAUCUAGUAAAGUAGGGUCUGUUCGACCAAUUAAAACU